UUGUAGUUCACAUUCGCUUUCCUAAGGUUUACCAACCAGUUUACACUGAAAAUGUGUACAUGACAAAUUGACAAUGAUUGUUUCGUUUUGUUUACGCUGUUUUUUUUUAUUAUUGAAAUUCAGGAGGUUCUAGGCCGAAAACGUAAUCCCCAAAAACCCGAAAUUAUAUUAUGUAAUAUUAGUUUCGUCUCAAACAUCACUCGAACCGACGACCUUUAAACUUCUCCUAGAGUUUUUACCAAUUGAAUUAACGACAUUAUAAUUUAUUUUUCUUAGAAGAUAAAAGUAAUAAUCAAUACCAAAAGCCAAAUAAUUAUUCUUCGAUAAAAAAAUUAAUUUGAAAUGAAAACAACACCAAACGCCUAAUAAUUAUUGGAUGAAAAAACAGU
rnacentral:sRNA from 1 species